CACGUAGGGCGCAAGCGUUGUCCGGAAUUAUUGGGCGUAAAGAGCUCGUAGGCGGUCUGUUGCGUCUGCUGUGAAAACCCGGGGCUUAACCCCUGGCUUGCAGUGGAUACGGACAGACUAGAGGAGGUAGGGGAGAAUGGAAUUCCCGGUGUAGCGGUGAAAUGCGCAGAUAUCGGGAGGAACACCGGUGGCGAAGGCGGUUCUCUGGGCCUUACCUGACGCUGAGGAGCGAAAGCGUGGGGAGCAACGG
rnacentral:rRNA from 1 species